ensembl:lncRNA LINC01934 long intergenic non-protein coding RNA 1934
GGGAUUAAAUUUCCAACACAUGAACUUUGUGGGGCUCAAUCAAACCAUAGCAAUAGGGUAUGGGGAACAUCCCAGUCCCAAAAUACAUUCUCUUCGUGACCUAGAGGCCCAUCAUGAUCUGAAGGCAGCGGUGGUUGCUGGUGGAGGAUGUGAGCUUUGGAACUGGAGCUCUUUGAUUCAAAGCUCUGCCGCUUACUCACUGGAUAAGACCAUGAUCAAGUUAUUUCAUCUGAAAAAUUGAGUUGACUGCAGGUAACUGAAACUGCGGAAAGUGAAACUGCAGAUAAGAGGGACCACUGUAAAUAAGUGACAUGAAUGAUACUGCAAAGGACCAUAGCCUAACCAGCCAAGCAAACUGGAAGUACCUUUAGACUCACGCUUUGCCAAGCUCAGUUCCAGAAUCACAUGAUGAAAAGAAUGAUGGAAAGAAAAUGUUUGUGAUAUUAAAAUUAAGGAAAUUACUCCAACUCAGAGCUUUGAAUCUUGACAGAGUGUUGCAAAGACAGAAGAAAUGUUUCAUCCUAAACUGAGAGACCAACAUCAAAAGAAUCUUCUCAAGUUUCUGAGUGACGGCAAGAAACUAGACUACUGUUACCAAGGAACUUUUUAAAGCAAACUGCUUUUGCUGAUAUGAGGAGAAAGUUAAUUAAUAAGAAAAUACCUUAAAUGUGUUUUGAAGCUGUUAAAGGUGUGUAACAAUUACUCUGAAUUUAUUAUAGCACCAGUUAGAGACCCAGGAAAACUAUAAAAUUGCACAUCAGGGCAGAGCUGAGAGACGACAUCUGCUUUGGGAUUGAAAAAAAAAAAAAAAAAAAAAAAAACAGAAAGGGAACAAGAGAAAUAGCAAGUCAUUUAACAUUUGGAAUUCAGGACUCCAGACUCAUCUAUAGGACCAAACUGCUCUUGAAAUAUACUAGAUUUCCUUUAGCUCCAGAGGUUUUGCCUUCAUCAAAUGCCUGUAACACUCUUAUUGUCAAAAGGAAUAAGUGAUGGUGAACACUGUGCCAGAUAGGAGGUACCACACACAGGUUCAGCAAAAAGCAGAAGCAAGAGGUAUAUUUUUUGUUAGAUCUUAGUUCAUCCCUAUGUAACAGACAUUUCAGGGAAGGGAGGAGAAAAUAACAAAGCUACCUAUGAGCAAAGGUAAAUGGGAUUCCCUAUCCUUGUUUCCCAGUUUCGGUCAUGGUAUUGCUUAUCCAUUAUUAGUUAUCCACUGCUGGGUAACAAAUUACUCCCAAACUUAGCAGCUUCAAACAACAAUAAACAUGUAUUAUGUCACAUAGUUUGUUUCAGAACUUUGGGAGUGGCUUAGCUGAAUGGUUGUAGCUCCAGGUGCUUUUUGUGGUUGCAGUCAAGAAGUCAGCCCAUUCACACAGCUGCAGACAAAAGGACUCGGUUCCUUGCAGGCUGAGGCCUGAUUAGGCAGGGGGCCUGAGUGUCUCGCCACAUGGACCUCUCCAUAGGGCUGCUUUUCGUGGCAUGGCAGCUGACUCCCCUCAGAACAGAUGAUCAAAAGCAGCAAAAGAGAAGCCUCACAUGACUUUUGCCCUAGCCUUGGGAAUCACACUCUUCCAUUUCUACAAAAUCCUAUUGGUUACAUAGCAGCCCUAUCCAGUGUGGGAGGGAACUGUAUACAGGCAUGAAUACCAGGAGUGGAAAACCACUAGAGACUGGCUACCAUGGUCACUUACACACCAACAUGAAACUUUCAGCCUUUCCACCUCCUACCACUUAUACUAUAUUUAAUGUUUUUCCUGUUAUGGACUUUAAAAAAGAGGUCAUCAUAAGCAAUAAUAUCCAUGAAAUCAUGGAUAUCAUGUGAUCUUUAUAUUUAUUUUUAUUUUUAUAUAUUAAUUUCCAAAUAAAAAUAGAACUAUUAAAACAAAA